AGACAACUAGGAUGUUAGAAGCAGCCAUCAUUUAAAGAGUGCGUAAUAGCUCACUAGUCGAGUGACACUGCGCCGAAAAUGUACCGGGGCUAAACAUAUUACCGAAGCUGUGGAUUGUCCUUUGGACAAUGGUAGGAGAGCGUUCUAAGGGCGUUGAAGCAUGAUCGUAAGGACAUGUGGAGCGCUUAGAAGUGAGAAUGCCUGUGAGUAGCGAAAGACGGGUGAGAAUCCCGUCCACCGAUGACUAAGGUUUCCAGAGGAAGGCUCGUCCGCUCUGGGUUAGUCGGGUCCUAAGCUGAGGCCGACAGGCGUAGGCGAUGGAUAACAGGUUGAUAUUCCUGUACCACCUUAUAAUCGUUUUAAUCGAUGGGGGGACGCAGUAGGAUAGGCGAAGCGUGCGAUUGGAUUGCACGUCUAAGCAGUAAGGCUGAGUAUUAGGCAAAAUCCGGUACUCGUUAAGGCUGAGCUGUGAUGGGGAGAAGACAUUGUGUCUUCGAGUCGUUGAUUUCACACUGCCGAGAAAAGCCUCUAGAUAGAAAAUAGGGUGCCCGUACCGCAAACCGACACAGGUAGUCAAGAUGAGAAUUCUAAGGUGAGCGAGCGAACUCUCGUUAAGGAACUCGGCAAAAGACCCCGUAACUUCGGGAGAAGGGGUGCUCUUUAGGGUUAACGCCCAGAAGAGCCGCAGUGAAUAGGCCCAAGCGACUGUUUAUCAAAAACACAGGUCUCUGCUAAACCGUAAGGUGAUGUAUAGGGGCUGACGCCUGCCCGGUGCUGGAAGGUUAAGAGGAGUGGUUAGCUUCUGCGAAGCUACGAAUCGAAGCCCAGUAAACGGCGGCCGUAACUAUAACGGUCCUAAGGUAGCGAAAUUCCUUGUCGGGUAAGUUCCGACCCGCACGAAAGGCGUAACGAUUUGGGCACUGUCUCAACGAGAGACUCGGUGAAAUCAUAGUACCUGUGAAGAUGCAGGUUACCCGCGACAGGACGGAAAGACCCCGUGGAGCUUUACUGUAGCCUGAUAUUGAAAUUCGGCACAGCUUGUACAGGAUAGGUAGGAGCCUUUGAAACGUGAGCGCUAGCUUACGUGGAGGCGCUGGUGGGAUACUACCCUAGCUGUGUUGGCUUUCUAACCCGCACCACUUAUCGUGGUGGGAGACAGUGUCAGGCGGGCAGUUUGACUGGGGCGGUCGCCUCCUAAAAGGUAACGGAGGCGCUCAAAGGUUCCCUCAGAAUGGUUGGAAAUCAUUCAUAGAGUGUAAAGGCAUAAGGGAGCUUGACUGCGAGACCUACAAGUCGAGCAGGGUCGAAAGACGGACUUAGUGAUCCGGUGGUUCCGCAUGGAAGGGCCAUCGCUCAACGGAUAAAAGCUACCCCGGGGAUAACAGGCUUAUCUCCCCCAAGAGUUCACAUCGACGGGGAGGUUUGGCACCUCGAUGUCGGCUCAUCGCAUCCUGGGGCUGUAGUCGGUCCCAAGGGUUGGGCUGUUCGCCCAUUAAAGCGGUACGCGAGCUGGGUUCAGAACGUCGUGAGACAGUUCGGUCCCUAUCCGUCGUGGGCGUAGGAAAUUUGAGAGGAGCUGUCCUUAGUACGAGAGGACCGGGAUGGACAUACCUCUGGUGUACCAGUUGUCGUGCCAACGGCAUAGCUGGGUAGCUAUGUGUGGACGGGAUAAGUGCUGAAAGCAUCUAAGCAUGAAGCCCCCCUCAAGAUGAGAUUUCCCAACUUCGGUUAUAAGAUCCCUCAAAGAUGAUGAGGUUAAUAGGUUCGAGGUGGAAGCAUGGUGACAUGUGGAGCUGACGAAUACUAAUCGAUCGAAGACUUAAUCAAAA
rnacentral:rRNA from 1 species